GAUGAAGAACGCAGCGAAAUGCGAUACUUGGUGUGAAUUGCAGAAUCCCGUGAACCAUCGAGUCUUUGAACGCAAGUUGCGCCUCAAGCCAUUAGGUUGAGGGCACGUCUGCCUGGGCGUCACAUAUCGUUGCCUGAUGCCAGUUUCCUCGUGAUGGGUGACUGUGCAGGGCGAAUGAUGGCUUCCCGUGAGCAUUGUUGCCUCAUGGUUGGUUGAAAAUUGAGUCCUUGGUAGGGAGCGCCGUGAUAGAUGGUGGUUGAGUGACGAACGAGACCCAAUCAUGUGAGACCCCUACCGAAUUUGGCCUUCAUGACCCACAUGCGUCUUUGGAACGCUCAUGACGAGACCUCAGGUCAGGCGGGGCUACCCGCUGAGUUUAAGAAUAUCAAUAAGCGGAGGA
rnacentral:misc_RNA from 1 species